GUGGAGCAGUUCGGUAGCUGGUCGGGCUCAUAACCCGAAGUUCUCUGGUCCAAUUCCUGACCCCCCCA
rnacentral:tRNA from 1 species